rnacentral:rRNA from 1 species
AUUGAACGCUGGCGGAAUGCUUACACAUGCAAGUCGAACGGUAGAGGGGGCAACCCCUCGAGAGUGGCGAACGGGUGAGUAAUAUAUCGGAACGUGCCCAGUCGUGGGGGAUAACGUAGCGAAAGUUACGCUAAUACCGCAUAUGAUCUAAGGAUGAGAGCGGGGGAUCGCAAGACCUCGCGCGAUUGGAGCGGCCGAUAUCAGAUUAGGUAGUUGGUGGGGUAAAGGCUAACCAAGCCAACGAUCUGUAGCUGGUCUGAGAGGACGACCAGCCACACUGGAACUGAGACACGGUCCAGACUCCUACGGGAGGCAGCAGUGGGGAAUUUUGGACAAUGGACGCAAGUCUGAUCCAGCCAUUCCGCGUGCAGGAUGAAGGCCCUCGGGUUGUAAACUGCUUUUGUACGGAACGAAAAGGUCUCUCUUAAUACGGGGGGCUCAUGACGGUACCGUAAGAAUAAGCACCGGCUAACUACGUGCCAGCCGCCGCAGUAA